rnacentral:rRNA from 1 species
CCUACGGGAGGCAGCAGUGAGGAAUAUUGGUCAAUGGGCACGAGCCUGAACCAGCCAAGUCGCGUGAGGGAAGACGGUCCUAUGGAUUGUAAACCUCUUUUGUCGGGGAGCAAAAGACGCCACGCGUGGCGUUCCGAGAGUACCCGAAGAAAAAGCAUCGGCUAACUCCGUGCCAGCAGCCGCGGUAAUACGGAGGAUGCGAGCGUUAUCCGGAUUUAUUGGGGUUAAAGGGUGCGCAGGCGGAAGAUCAAGUCAGCGGUAAAAUUGAGAGGCUCAACCUCUUCGAGCCGUUGAAACUGGUUGUCUUGAGUGAGUGAGAGGUAUGCGGAAUGCGUGUUGUAGCGGUGAAAUGCAUAGAUAUCACGCAGAACUCCGAUUGCGAAGGCAGCAUACCGGCGCUCAACUGACGCUCAUGCACGAAGGUGUGGGUAUCGAACAGGAUUAGAUACCCCAGUAGUC